rnacentral:misc_RNA from 1 species
GAGAAGGGUCCGAGUUUGCCUGACGAUCUCAGCGGGAGAUUUGGGUUUGGACUUGAACAGGGAUUUCAUUUGUGAGUGUUGGAUGUAGGGUUGUGAAAGUGUGGGAUUGAACUCGAGGGAGAGAAGAGAAGAGGUGUUUGUUUCCGGGAAAGAAGGCUGCAUCAAAGAAAUUGCCAUGUAUACGUAAUUAUCUGAAUAAAGCAA